AGUGAACGCUGGCGGUAGACCUAACACAUGCAAGUCGAACGGCAGCACAGUAAGAGCUUGCUCUUACGGGUGGCGAGUGGCGGACGGGUGAGGAAUACAUCGGAAUCUACUUUUUCGUGGGGGAUAACGUAGGGAAACUUACGCUAAUACCGCAUACGACCUACGGGUGAAAGCAGGGGAUCUUCGGACCUUGCGCGAUUGAAUGAGCCGAUGUCGGAUUAGCUAGUUGGCGGGGUAAAGGCCCACCAAGGCGACGAUCCGUAGCUGGUCUGAGAGGAUGAUCAGCCACACUGGAACUGAGACACGGUCCAGAUUCCUACGGGAGGCAGCAGUGGGGAAUAUUGGACAAUGGGCGCAAGCCUGAUCCAGCCAUACCGCGUGGGUGAAGAAGGCCUUCGGGUUGUAAAGCCCUUUUGUUGGGAAAGAAAAGCAGCAGGUUAAUACCCCGCUGUUCUGACGGUACCCAAAGAAUAAGCACCGGCUAACUUCGUG
rnacentral:rRNA from 1 species